GGGAGGGUAGCUCAGUGUUAGAUCACAUGCUUAGCAUGCACAAGGUCCUGGGUUUGAUCCCCAGUUCCUCCA
rnacentral:tRNA from 1 species